rnacentral:lncRNA from 1 species
AGGAGGAAUGGAAAUACACUAUAGCAAAAUACAAAUUAAUAUAUAUAUAUACAUGGUAGGCAAUGUGUUUAACUGAUAUUGCUUGGGCGCCGGGGCUCUCGGAUUGCUAGCCGGGCUGAAAUCGUACCCGUCCGUACGGUGACGGGGCCGACGGCGCCUCUCGAUUCUGGUGGUGACGGGCCUCCCUAGAUUGAUUGUUCAACGGGGUUUCCGCCACGUCUUCACCGGUCACAGGUCGUUAUAAAUUUCCCGACUUCUUUUACCACGCAUCUGGAUGGCCCACUGUACUACGGCAGGCUCGGCCACCAAAUGCGUGUUAGGUUUGGGAGAAUCCGCCCACCCAUCAUCCCAGCUUUCCGCCAUCUCCUCACUCUCUCUUUGUUCGAGUGUGCUCAACCUGUACAGGAAAGAGAGUUACCCUACGAACGACUGUGAGGAAAGAGAGAGGAAGAACAAUAUAUAUAUAUAUAUAUAUAUACGGAAAUACAUAUUAAUAACAACAAUAAUAAAAUAAUAAAAAAAAUUUUCAUUGUGUCGAACUUGGAGGGCGAU